ACUCAUGUUCCAUCCAGCAAAUGAAGUAUCACGAGCACACGCCAGAGGAACCAAAUUCUCUAGGGUGAGUCAGGUAUAGCUUUUUGAAGAGGUGACCUUUAAACUGAGACUAAAGACAAGUAGGAUUUUACUAAAUGAAUAGGAUUUUACUGAAUCCAGGAAUUGGAAGGAAAAGAAAACAGUUCUCUAUUCAUGCUAGUUAACUAAUCAAUUCAAUAUGUAUUAACUGAGCACGCUACAUGCUAGGCACUCUUCUAAGUGCAGGGGAGACAGCAGUGAAGAAAGCAGACAAAGUCUCUGAACUCCUGUGUCUUCUAUUCAAAUGGGGAAGAUGAACAAUGAACAGAUAACACAAAUAGAAGGCCCAGAAUACUCAGUACCUCUCAAUGACCCUCAGACGCUGUAGGAAGAGGAUUGGUUCACCUUUUAACCCAGAAUUUCUCACAUUGAAUGGACAGGAUGCAUUCCAAGAGGCCAGAGUAUGUGCAUCUCAGCUCCUGAUGGUUUCCACCACCACCAUUACUUUCUCUAUGUCAAGAUACCUGGGAAGCCGGAGACAGGCAGCCCACGCACUGCAGUGAUGAAAGGACUCUCCAACGAGGCAGACAGGAACCCUGCAGUUGGGAAUACAGAGCCUUCUCCUAUGGGAAGACCACAGGAAAAAGAAACACCCAAGGGGGAGGCAUGAGUCUUUGUGAAGUAAGGAUGAUUUACAAGGCAACCAAAGAAAUGUCUUGGCUUUCUUAUCUAAGGCUGAUAGAAAAGAGAAUGGAAGAUAAGUAAUUAAGGAAGUAAUUAUACUAUAGACCAAAAGAAGGGACAGGGAGCUAGGAGUCUGCGGAUGUUUUCCGUUCUGCCAUUAAACUAGAGCAUGACCUUGGGCAGAUUAGUUUCCUCCGCUGCAAAACCAGGAUCAAACUCUGUGAUUAUUUAAUUGUCAUGACUCAAAUCUCUGUACUUGCUCAUUUCAGCUCAUUUCCCCCCUUUCAGUGACCUUGAUGAAAUUUUCCUGUGCCUCUUUUUA
rnacentral:lncRNA from 1 species